GGCUAGGUUUCCUCGACAAUGUUCGUCAGUCGAGGGUUAGUCGGUCCUAAGACGUACCGUAAUUCGAGUACGCCGAAAGGGAAACAGGUUAAUAUUCCUGUACCUGUAUCAAACAAUCCUGACGCUUUCGGAUAGGCAUUGCGGAGCCAUCGCUCCGUCUAAGCUGGAUAUGAAAUUGGAGUACCGUAAUGGUGAGAAUUUUUCAAAACGGUGAUGGGGUAACAAUGCUGAUUCCAGGAGCCCGUGAAAAGGGUGAUACGGUCCGCACCGAGAACUGACACAGGUGCCCCUCGCUGAGAAGGCGAAGGCGUGUCGGGAGUAAAUGUGUUAAGGGAACUCGGCAAAUUAGCCCUGUAACUUUGGGAUAAGGGGUGCCUGCCCAGCGAUUGGGCAGGUCGCAGUGACAAGAUCGCUCCGACUGUCUAAUAACAACAUAGCAGACUGCAACUCCGAAAGGACUCGUAUAGUCCGUGAUUCCUGCCCAGUGCGAGUAUCUGAACACCGGGUUCAACCGGACGAAGGACUCGUAAACGGCGGGGGUAACAACGACCCUCUUAAGGUAGCGUAGUACCUUGUCGCUUAAUUGGCGACUUGCAUGAAUGGAAUAACGAGAGCGAUACUGUCCCUAACACAUACCCGUUGAACCUUUUGUACUAGUGCAGAGACUAGUGACUCCUUAUGGGAAGUGAAGACCCCGUGGAGCUUUACUGCAGCCUGUCGUUGGGUUACGGUAUUACCUGCGCAGGGUAGAUGGGAGACGUCGAUCCAACCCUUGUGGGGGUUGGUUAGUCAACGAUGAGACACCAUCCUGGUUUUAUUGUAAUUCUAACUGAUUUAUCAGGACAUCGAUAGGUAGGCAGUUUGGGUGGGGCGCCACACCCUCGAAAAAAUAUCAAGGGUGCCCUAAGGUCAACUCAAGCGGGUCAGAAACCCGCUGAAGAGUGUCAAGAGCAAAAGUUGGCCUGACGCGAUUUCGCAUAGCAAGAAAUCGCGAGAGGAAACUCGGGUCUAACGAACCAAUACGCCCUGUUGAUGAGGGCUAUUGACUACAGAAAAGCUACCCCGGGGAUAACAGAGUCGUCGCCGGCAAGAGCACAUAUCGACCCGGCGGCUUGCUACCUCGAUGUCGGUUCUUUCCAUCCUGGCUGUGCAGCAGCAGCCAAGGGUGAGGUUGUUCGCCUAUUAAAGGGGAUCGUGAGCUGGGUUUAGACCGUCGUGAGACAGGUCGGUUACUAUCUAUAAGGAGUGUUGGAAGUCUGAAGGCAAGAAUGAAAUAGUAUGAGAGGAACUUUCAUUCGGCGCCACUGGUCUACCGGUUGUCUGACAAGGCACCGCCGGGCAGCUACGCGCCAAGAGAUAAAAGCUGAAAGCAUCUAAGCUUGAAACUCAGCCUGAACAAGAGACUUCAUUAAAGACACGGGUAAAAGACCCGGUUGAUAGGUUCGGGAUGUACGCACGAAGGCAACGACGUGUUCAGUCCGCGAAUACUAAUUGU
rnacentral:rRNA from 1 species